rnacentral:rRNA from 1 species
UACGGAGGGGGCUAGCGUUAUUCGGAAUUACUGGGCGUAAAGCGCGCGUAGGCGGUUUUUUCAAGUCAGAGGUGAAAGCCCGGAGCUCAACUCCGGAAUUGCCUUUGAAACUGGAUCACUAGAAUCAUGGGGAGGUCAGUGGAAUUCCGAGUGUAGAGGUGAAAUUCGUAGAUAUUCGGAAGAACACCAGUGGCGAAGGCGACUGACUGGACAUGUAUUGACGCUGAGGUGCGAAAGCGUGGGGAGCAAAC